UAAUUACAUAAACUGCUACCACAGCUCUCUCUCCCAACGAUACCCAAGCCCAACUGAACCCUCAUCCUUUCGGACUCAAACCGUUACCAAAAUCUCUCUCUGAGAUCAGAGCCAGCGACCCGUCGGAAUCUUCACGCUCGGAAUGCCACCGAGUCAAGCACCAAUCAGAGACUUAGAAACUCAUUAAUAGCGAAGGGAGCAGUUCGCCGAUGAUUCCAGAGCGGCGCCUUCGAGCUUCCUCUAUAUUGGCACCGUUAAGCAGAGCCACAACUCCACGAGUAGCGACGCCAUGAGCAGAGCGAUGCCGGAAGUGAACCGGUCGCCAUACUAGAAACUCAAAUCGAUCAAGAGAUCGGAUUGGUAUAGGCCAAGUCCCGAGUUGCAACCAUUUCCGCCGAUCGCGAAACCGCCACCGCCUCAGACCCUCGAUUCGCCGUCGCCGAUGAC
rnacentral:lncRNA from 1 species